rnacentral:rRNA from 1 species
CCUACGGGAGGCAGCAGUGGGGAAUAUUGGGCAAUGGGCGCAAUCCUGACCCAGCAACGCCGCGUGAAGGAAGAAGGCUUUCGGGUUGUAAACUUCUUUUCUCAGGGACGAAGCAAGUGACGGUACCUGAGGAAUAAGCCACGGCUAACUACGUGCCAGCAGCCGCGGUAAUACGUAGGUGGCAAGCGUUAUCCGGAUUUACUGGGUGUAAAGGGCGUGUAGGCGGGAAAGCAAGUCAGAUGUGAAAACCAUGGGCUCAACCUGUGGCCUGCAUUUGAAACUGUUUGUCUUGAGUACUGGGGAGGCAGACGGAAUUCGUGGUGUAGCGGUGAAAUGCGUAGAUAUUAGGAGGAACACCAGUGGCGAAGGCAGUCUGCUGGACAGCAACUGACGCUGAGGCGCGAAGGCGUGGGGAGCAAACAGGAUUAGAUACCCUUGUAGUC